rnacentral:rRNA from 1 species
GAUGAACGCUGGCGGCGUGCCUAAUACAUGCAAGUCGAGCGAACAGACGAGGAGCUUGCUCCUCUGACGUUAGCGGCGGACGGGUGAGUAACACGUGGAUAACCUACCUAUAAGACUGGGAUAACUUCGGGAAACCGGAGCUAAUACCGGAUAAUAUAUUGAACCGCAUGGUUCAAUAGUGAAAGACGGUUUUGCUGUCACUUAUAGAUGGAUCCGCGCCGCAUUAGCUAGUUGGUAAGGUAACGGCUUACCAAGGCAACGAUGCGUAGCCGACCUGAGAGGGUGACCGGCCACACUGGAACUUAGACACGGUCCAGACUCCUACGGGAGGCAGCAGUAGGGAAUCUUCCGCAAUGGGCGAAAGCCUGACGGAGCAACGCCGCGUGAGUGAUGAAGGUCUUCGGAUCGUAAAACUCUGUUAUUAGGGAAGAACAAAUGUGUAAGUAACUAUGCACGUCUUGACGGUACCUAAUCAGAAAGCCACGGCUAACUACGUG